rnacentral:rRNA from 1 species
CACGGAGUUAGCCGGAGCUUACAAACGGUACCGUCAUCGCGAACGAUGUUAGCGCUCGCUUAUUCUUCCCGUUCUUGCGAAGUUUACAUCCCGAGGGAUUUCAUCCUUCACGCGGCGUUGCUGGGUCAGGCUUUCGCCCAUUGCCCAAAAUUCCCGA